rnacentral:rRNA from 1 species
AUGCUUGUUGUGGCGGGGUCGGUGGUGGACGUGUGCACUUCCAGAUAUCUACCAAAAAGAUCCAACAGAAUACCAAGACAUCAUCGACGAGUGAGAGAGGAGAGGUUAGGUGGCGCUGAUUUUUGUCUUAGGGAAGAUAAUAAGGUGCGGGCCCCGCUUAGCAGUGUGACAGUGAAGGAGGGAGAUGACUUGGCCAGUCUUGGGCCAUGUAAAAGUGAAGCAGGCCGGUGCAGGCUGAGUCGUGCUGGGCUAGAAAGGAAAGGAGAGAGAAAGAAAGGCGGGCUAGGUCUGGUUUCAGGCCGGUUUGAUUGUUGGGUGGAGGAAAAGAAGAGGCAGAGUGGUGUCUAG